UGGGGAAUAUUGGACAAUGGGGGAAACCCUGAUCCAGCAAUGCCGCGUGAGUGAAGAAGGCCUUAGGGUUGUAAAGCUCUUUCAGCGGGGAAGAUGAUGACGGUACCCGCAGAAGAAGCCCCGGCUAACUCCGUGCCAGCAGCCGCGGUAAUACGGAGGGGGCUAGCGUUGUUCGGAAUUACUGGGCGUAAAGCGCACGUAGGCGGUGGCGCAUGUCAGAUGUGAAAGCCCUGGGCUUAACCUAGGAAUUGCAUUUGAAACUGCGUCGCUAGAGGCCGGAAGAGGGUAGUGGAAUUCCCAGUGUAGAGGUGAAAUUCGUAGAUAUUGGGAAGAACACCGGUGGCGAAGGCGGCUACCUGGUCCGGUUCUGACGCUGAGGUGCGAAAGCGUGGGGAGCAAA
rnacentral:rRNA from 1 species